GGCAGCAUCCACCUCAGCCAGGCCAGAACCCCUGCACAAAGUGCCCUGGGGUCUGCAGGGUCUCGGUCUCUGCUCUUGAGAUGGUUGUGAGGCAGAUGAGGAAACAUCAGACCCUCUCUUACAAGAAUGGAUUGAGAGCAGGCUCCCCUGUUUGCAGCAAUGCCUGUUUCCAUGGCACCCAGAGCAGCAGCUGAUGGCCUUGUUGUAACAAAAACUCUAAUAAAUUUCAACAGAUUGCUGGGAA